AUUGAACGCUGGCGGAAUGCUUUACACAUGCAAGUCGAACGGCAGCACGGACUUCGGUCUGGUGGCGAGUGGCGAACGGGUGAGUAAUGUAUCGGAACGUGCCCAGUCGUGGGGGAUAACGUAGUGAAAAUUACGCUAAUACCGCAUACGAUCUAUGGAUGAAAGCGGGGGAUUGCAAGACCUCGCGCGAUUGGAGCGGCCGAUAUCAGAUUAGGUAGUUGGUGGGGUAAAGGCCCACCAAGCCAACGAUCUGUAGCUGGUCUGAGAGGACGACCAGCCAGCCUGAUACUGAGACCCGGGCCAGCCUCCUACGGGCGGCAGCAGUGGGGCAUUUUGGACAAUGGGCGAAAGCCUGAUCCAGCCAUUCCGCGUGCAGGAUGAAGGCCCUCGGGUUGUAAACUGCUUUUGUACAGAACGAAAAGGUUUCUACUAAUACUAGGAGCUCAUGACGGUACUGUAAGAAUAAGCACCGGCUAACUACGUGCCAGCCGCCGCGGUAA
rnacentral:rRNA from 1 species